UUUGCAGUAGCAAGGGAAUACUGGUAGCCCAGUAAAUGACGUUCCAUCUGUUUGGUGAAGGCAUGCUUGGAUCGCCUCCACAGGCUACUGGAGGCCCAGCAUGAGCACAUUUAUAAAACAUCACCAGCACAAAUCCUAUGUCAUUGUACAGGCAAAUGAGUUAGUGGCUUAGAUAAUUCAUCAGCCAGCUGUCAGAUGCAGGAGAAGCAAGCUCACUCCUUGUCACAGAAAAAGCAGGGAGAAGCUACCUUAGCAGCAUGCCUGUUCAAAAUUUCAGGAUCUGCUGUGACCCACUGUUAUGGGAAACAGUUGCCUGUACUGCUGGGGUAUAAAACAAAUUAACCCCCAGACUGAAAGAAGUUAAAGAUAUCACAGCUGAAUUAUAAAUAUUCCAUUGGCUGAAGUUUUCCUCUGCAAGAAACAUUGCACUGUCUGUUGUGGUGACCUCUUCAGAUAGAUAAAGAUGUCUACAAGACUGCCACAGAAACCGCUGCACCCUGUGAGACAAGUUGCUCUGAAAGUGUGUGGUUAACUCAGCAAUCUCCCGAGACAGGCACCAUCUUGUGAAGAUGUUUGUCUGGAGGGACCUGCUCUGCAGCAAGGGCUUGGAAAUGCUCCUGUAUUACAAGCAGAAAACAGCCAUCCUGCUCCUUCUGAGAAGUCCUGGGUUCUGGAGGUGCACAGUCAAGCUGGGAAGGGCUCCUCGCUGAGGCACCUCAUGCACAGGCUACAGAAGUGGCAGUGCAGGGUGCAUCUAGGCUGCAGUAAACUGACAGCUAGCCCAUCAAGAGGAAAUGGAGAUCAUCAGUUCCUGCAGUGGGCAUUUCUCACUUACUGUCACUGGCCAAACAAGAAGCUAGAAAAGACUCUCAAGUGUCACUGCUAGGUGUACCAAAGAAUAGCUUUGCAUUUGAAAGUGUAUUUACAAUGUAAGGUUAUUGAAAAGCCUUGUGGCAGUGAAAUCUAAAUGUUUUAUUAAUGAAAGAACAGCAGAUGAAUAAUCACAAUAAAAGUGUCUGUUACCAUGGAACAUGGAAAUAGAAACACAAUGGGCACUUAAUGAGUGGCGAUUAGUCUGGCUCCACAGACUAUUUGGGAAAUGGAGAAGAAGAAUAGAUCGUGUCAAAAGCCAAAGUCAAAAGACACAUUUGGUAGGCUUAGGUCAAAGAAAUUUAGGGUCGCUACACCAAAAUGAGAUGCUGUCUCUGUGGAUCUAUGGUUGAAGUGAAACUUUUAAAUACAAGUCAUGUCUAUGAGCCUGUAAUUACAGGGUGUCAGACAUUACAGGGAUGUGGAGGGGCUGAACUCAGACUAUACAUACCUCCCACAUGGUGUUUUCUGACUCUGUACAAUUGUUCAAUCCUAUUGUUUUCUUAAUACAUUCCUCAAAUGCUGUCCAGAUAUUCACAACUCAGAAUUUACUAUGACACUCACUGCCUGAGGGGGACUCAGCAGCUGAUGCAGAGUUAACUUGUCCCAUGCUUAUCCUCAUAUAGCAGUGUGGCUGGCUGACUGCUCCAGGAGUCACUUCUCUGUGUGAAGCAGGACCUCCCAGCAGACAAGGAACAAGCAAAGGAGAUGGGUGUGAAAGUGCCAAGUCACACCUGGACCACACAUGCUGACACAACUGGGGAAAUGCAAGCUAUGACCAUGAAUAUGGAAAAAAAGACAAAUACUGAAGCAAAUGCAUCUCUUUGGCAAGGCAGGUGAUCAUCAGCAGAGCAGGUACAGCCAGGGGACCACAGUCCCUAAAGCUCUAAGGAUCUUUCCUGGCCAUAGUGGACACAGUUUAGGGGCUGGACUGCCUUCAUCAUUUUGGUUAGUCACCCCUGUGUCAGCCACAAAUCAUCUCCUGAGCUACUGUGACACUGGCUUUAGAAGAAAAGCCAUGGACAUACAAGGCCUCAUUUUCGGGCAUAUAGGGCUCCAUUGUGGACAUAAGCAAACUACAGGACAGGAGUGAAAACAAAUGGAAAGAGGCAGAACAGUUAGCACCAUAAUUUAAUAAAAAAUUACUGUGGAUUCUAUAUGGGAUUGUAAUUAAAGAUAGCAAAUAAAUAAAGUCUUCAAGAGCACUUCAUACCUGAAGUGAUAUGUAAAAAUUACAUUGAAAAGAGCCUAGGAAGAUCAUUUGUCUAAGAAAAUGAACAGAGACAUUGUAUCCUACUACAAAGGAAAGUGACAAUGAAAAAGAUGUUGAAUGUUGGUUCAAGUGAAACUAUCCAUCUUAGCAGCACAGAGAAAAUUGUUUUUUACAGCAGUAGAUUUCUUCAAGCUGUUGAAGAAUCACCCCUUUUCCCCCAAUGUACUUUAUAUUAUGUUUCUCAUGACAUUUUCUAAUAUUAGUAGAAAAAGAAGAUAUCCAGGACAAAUCUUUCAGUAGACAUGGCAGUGAUAUAAUAAUGUAUAACAGUGGGCCACACUUUACUGGGAAUGACUGGGAAUUCUUUUAAUGGAAUACAGCUGAUUAUCACUUCUGUAGGAAACAAAGUCUUACCAGAAAAACCACAACUGAAGUACACACCAGAAGCUGAUUGAUACAGUACUAUUACAUUUUAUAUAGCACUGAUCCAAGCAUGGACUAUUCCCUAUCCUGAGCUAGAAAAUUGCAAUAUCUGCUUGAUGAUAAAACAAAUUUAGGAAAAGCAAACACAGAUAUUUAUAUAUUUUAGAAUUUGUAAAAAAAAAAAGGCAAGAAAAGUAAAAGAUAAGGAGACAGCCUGAAACAUUUUAUUUAACCCCUAAUAGAACACUUCAUUUCAGAGUGUUUAAUCCCUUUGUGUUUCUUUUCAAGCUCUUGGAUUAAAAAAAAAAAAAGUUCUGAUGAAAAGAAUAAACAAAGUUGUGUUUGAAACAUAAAACCAAAAAGUUCUUCAUCUUGUCUUCUCCAGGACAUCAGAAUGUCAGAAAGAAAACUUUCACCAAGUACAAAAGUAUUUCUAAUUAAUUUACCUGAUCUAAAUUCAUAAAACUUUUCAUCUCUUUAAACCUCAUCUUCAGAACAAAUGUCCUAUAUGUAAAGAAAAAAACCUUAUUUUACUUAACCCGUUCUGACAUUUUGUCCAAUAGAAAACUGGUAAACAGGAUUUACUCUCUAUAAAAAAACUUAGAGAAGAUGUAUACAUAUAAAAAAAAAAAAGAAGAGACGAGACAAUAAAGUUGUGAGAACACCCUAGAGGGAGAGGCACACACAGGAGGGAACAAAGGAUGCAGACAGCAGCAGCAGCCUGAGAGUCACCUGAGGUGUGAAUCCCCUUAUGCUUGGUGACUUGCAGGUAAAACCUCUCAGUGCCAGGAAAUGGACACACAGGUGCAGCAGCAGUUGUGUUGCCUACAGAGGUACCAAGGGCGAUAGCUGUGUUGGGGUGGGAAGAGUGGUGUUCAUCUUUUGGCUUUAGUGUUCUUCAAGAGCAUUGGCACUGCAAUCUCUGUGGGGGUCCCUGGGAGAUGACUGAUUAGUCAUCAAGAAGUCUGUGGUGGCUGUGGGUUUCUAUUUCUGCUGUGUUUGACUGGAUAGGUAUGGGACAAAUGUCAUUUUAGAGUGGUCUGGCUAAUGAUGGUUUUAUACAGGAACAUGUGGUGAGGGAAGCUGGUAUCUGGAGCUCAGUGAAUUACUUCUGUCAUUUCCUUAUCUCCAUGUGAUGUACAGAUGGCAGCAUGGCAACUCUGGCACUAAUUCUCCUGCAAAUCCAAGGAAAAUCCUGGGAUUCACAGAGACAUGCAAGAUUCACUCCUCCUUCUGGACUCAGGUGGAUCUCCACAGGCUCAAGAUCUGGUGUUUCAUAUUACCUAUGAGCGCUAUUUUCAUCCUCCUCAGGAAGUCUUUAUUCUCAGCGUGCUGGUUGCAAACUCAUUUGGAGUAAGGAGUGUAAGCUGAUCUCUGAGCUCUCGGUGCCAGCAAUGAUUAAUCACAUCCCACUCUAAAAGAAGCCAUCUGAUGUUGGAUAAUUUGGAUGAUAACAAUAUGACACACAUUAGUCAUGGAAGAGCUGACAUGCAUAGAGCAACAACAAGGAGAUUACCUUGAUAUGGCUGCACUUCUUAGCAUAUGUGGACAAGGAGAACUCUUGAUACCUAAAAACCAGAUACUUAAUUCUUUUUGUUUCUAUUAAUAAGUGUCCUGCCCUUUGCUAUAAGAGAGCACAACCCUCUGCAGCAGACACAUACCAUAAAAGCAUAAGAAAGCUGCUGUAAAAGAGUGUAUCGAUCAUUGGCCCAAAUCACAAGGUCCCGCCUUUCAAACAAUUUUGGUUUCAUUACUAAAGAUAACUGUAUUCUUGAUUGUUUUCAAACAAAACCUGUACUCUAUGCUCUUGGGAUACACAUACA